rnacentral:rRNA from 1 species
GAUGAACGCUGGCGGCGUGCCUAAUACAUGCAAGUCGAGCGAAUGGAUUAAGAGCUUGCUCUUAUGAAGUUAGCGGCGGACGGGUGAGUAACACGUGGGUAACCUGCCCAUAAGACUGGGAUAACUCCGGGAAACCGGGGCUAAUACGGGAUAACAUUUUGAACCGCAUGGUUCGAAAUUGAAAGGCGGCUUCGGCUGUCACUAAUGGAUGGACCCGCGUCGCAUUAGCUAGUUGGUGAGGUAACGGCUCACCAAGGCAACGAUGCGUAGCCGACCUGAGAGGGUGAUCUGCCACACUGGGACUGAGACACGGCCCAGACUCCUACGGGAGGCAGCAGUAGGGAAUCUUCCGCAAUGGACGAAAGUCUGACGGAGCAACGCCGCGUGAGUGAUGAAGGCUUUCGGGUCGUAAAACUCUGUUGUUAGGGAAGAACAAGUGCUAGUUGAAUAAGCUGGCACCUUGACGGUACCUAACCAGAAAGCCACGGCUAACUACGUGCCAGCCGCCGCCGUAA